rnacentral:rRNA from 1 species
CACCGCCCGUCACACCAUGGGAGUCAUUUGCUCCAGAAGCGUCUGCACCAACCCGCAAGGGAGGUAGGGCUCCAAGGAGUGAAUGGUAACUGGGGUG